rnacentral:lncRNA from 1 species
UGAGGCGGGUCGAAGGGUGCAGCCGAAUAUUGGGAGAUCAACCGUGUCCUCAAUAGUUCAAACGUUUCGAAGAGAGAACAGGACUGCAAGAUUACCUCAAACCGGUGGCAGAGGACGCCUUUUCACACCUCAACAGGAGGAGGCUAUUUACACCAUGGUCCGAGCAAACAAUGCCAUGAGACUCAGGGAAAUACAAAGGACCAUUAUAGAAGACAACGAUGUCUUUGAAAACAUCCAUACGGUUAGCAUCUCAACCAUCGACAGGGUGCUGCAUAGAAACCAGAUGAGUAUGAAACAGCUGUACCGUGUACCAUUCCAAAGGAAUGAGGACAGAGUUAAGGAGCUACGGUACCAGUAUGUACAGCAUAUAAUGGAGUUGGAAUCAAGUGAACCCUCUCACGACUUUGUAUACGUGGAUGAGGCUGACUUCAACCUGACCAAAUGCAGAAGGCGGGGUCGGAAUAUCAUCGGUCACAGAGCUACUGUGGAUUUGCCAGGCCAACAAGGAGGAAAUAUCACCAUGUGUGCUGCUAUUUUGGAGCAUGGUGUCCUAACCCAUAUCCCCCUUAUAGGGCCAUACAACACCCAGCAUCUAUUCAACUUUUUAGAGACUCUCUACAGGGCUCUCAUCCCUGAUGAUGAGAGGGGUCUGUUUAGAGAGGAUUUGCCAAAGUAUGUGGUCAUUUGUGAUAAUGUGAGUUUCCAUCGAUCAAACAUCAU